UUUGAACCAAAAAUAAAGCCUCCAAUGUUU
rnacentral:piRNA from 1 species